GAUGAACGCUGGCGGCGUGCUUAACACAUGCAAGUCGAACGAAGAUGCCGGAGUGCUUGCACUUUGGCAGACUGAGUGGCGGACGGGUGAGUAACGCGUGGGUAACCUGCCUUAUACAGGGGGAUAACAGUUGGAAACGACUGCUAAUACCGCAUGACGCAUUUUGAUCGCAUGGUAUGGUGUGAAAAACUCCGGUGGUGUGAGAUGGACCCGCGUCUGAUUAGCUAGUUGGCAGGGCAACGGCCUACCAAGGCGACGAUCAGUAGCCGACCUGAGAGGGUGACCGGCCACGAUUGGGACUGAGACACGGGCCCAAACUCCUAACGGGAGCAGCAGUGGGAAUAUUGCACAAUGGGGAAACCCUGAUGCAGCGA
rnacentral:rRNA from 1 species